CAGGUUCAGAGAAUGUGAAUCCCACAGUGUGACAUGAAGGAAACACUGAUUUGCACAGUGUUGUGGAUCUUCCUAAGAAGUAAGCCCAGGCUGCAUGAUUAAGAUCAGAGUCAAGAACACAACUGUGCAGAUCUCAACCACUGGGACCAUUGCUGUGCACUGAGAUAACCAAAAAAGAGCUUGAAGAGAUUUUUGACUGAAAUCAGUGAUUUAAAAGAAAAGAGUGGAUGCCCUUAAACACUUUUUCCCUGAAGGACUCUAAAUGUUGUGGUGAUUGCUGUAUAACCUGACUGGCACUGUCUGAAUGGGAAGGGGUGAGAAUGAAGUUUGGAGCUGUCGAUAAGGAUUCUGAUCGAAAUACUGCAUGCCUCAAAGAAGCAAGGCAAUGGAAGGCAAGCAGCUUUUGG